rnacentral:rRNA from 1 species
UACAGAGGGUGCAAGCGUUGUUCGGAAUUACUGGGCGUAAAGCGCGUGUAGGCGGCGGCGUAAGUCGGGUGUGAAAUCCCUCAGCUCAACUGAGGAAGUGCACUCGAUACUGUGUCGCUUGAAUGUCGGAGGGGAUGGCGGAAUUCCCGGUGUAGAGGUGAAAUUCGUAGAUAUCGGGAGGAACACCUGUGGCGAAGGCGGCCAUCUGGACGACAAUUGACGCUGAGACGCGAAAGCGUGGGGAGCGAACAGG